rnacentral:rRNA from 1 species
CACGAACUGCGCAAACGUUAUUCGGAAUCACUGGGCUUAAAGAGUCCGUAGGCGGCUCGGUAGGUGAGGUGUGAAAUCCCACGGCUCAACCGUGGAAUUGCGCUUCAAACCACCGGGCUUGAGGGAGAUAGAGGAGAGCGGAACUGAUGGUGGAGCGGUGAAAUGCGUUGAUAUCAUCAGGAACACCGGUGGCGAAAGCGGCUCUCUGGGUCUCUUCUGACGCUGAGGGACGAAAGCUAGGGGAGCGAACGGG